rnacentral:rRNA from 1 species
GACGAACGCUGGCGGCGUGCCUAAUACAUGCAAGUCGAGCGAUGAAGUUUCCUUCGGGAAACGGAUUAGCGGCGGACGGGUGAGUAACAUGUGGGUAACCUGCCUCAUAGAGUGGAAUAGCCUUCCGAAAGGAAGAUUAAUACCGCAUAAUGUUGAAAGAUCGCAUCAUCAUUUAACCAAAAGAGGAAGCUGCUAUGAGAUGGACCCGCGGCGCAUUGGCUAGUUGGUGGGGUAACGGCCUACCAAGGCGACGAUGCGUAGCCGACCUGAGAGGGUGAUCGGCCACAUUGGGACUGAGACACGGCCCAGACUCCUACGGGAGGCAGCAGUGGGGAAUAUUGCACAAUGGGGGAAACCCUGAUGCAGCAACGCCGCGUGAGUGAUGGAGGUUUUCGGAUCGUAAAGCUCUGUCUUUGGGGAAGAUAAUGACGGUACCCAAGGAGGAAGCCACGGCUAACUACGUGCCAGCCGCCGCCGUAA